rnacentral:pre_miRNA from 1 species
AUUUUACUCCCUCCGUUCGAAAUUACUUGUCUUAAAAAUGGAUGUAUCUAGAACCAAAAUACGUCUAGAUAUAUUCAUUUCUACGAUAAGUAAUUCCGAAUAGGGGGAGUAGUUG